UUAGUUCCAUCAACGAAUACGCAGCAACGAAAACCAAAGGAGCUUCGAUUUAAAAUCUGAGAAUUUUCGAAAUAAAAAAAAAAUUAAGUUGAAAUUAAAAUAAAAAGUAAACGAACGAAAAGAUGUUUUCCGGAAAAUCAGCGAAGUUUUUUACCUUGUUCGUAUUGUUUUUGAUCGCAUUCCUUGGCGAAGUGGUCAGGUCACAGUCGGGAGAUACAACAACGGAUGAUGCUGCAACAACAGCAGCAGCCACUACUAACCAACCUUCCACAACUGUACAACCAGCACCCGAAAGCACAACCUCUGGCGCCGGAUUCGUGUCAGCACCGAUGAUUACACUUGUAGCAGCCAUGGUUGUCAUGAUCAGGAAUUUCGUUCGUUAAUUCUCUGCAACGCAUCACUUACUUGCGUCUAUUGUAGAGAUAUAGAACUUGCACCGUAGCUUUUUAACGCAGUUUUAACUAUACUUGCACUGGAGUUUCGUUACGCCAUUGCUUUUCAUUCUAGCAUUGAUUUAUCGCGCCCUUUUAAUAACGUAAGUUUCUAAUUUUUAACAUGUUGUUCGCCAUAUGACGGGACGUACCUUCUCGAUUGGCGACAGCGCCUAAAAUUUUGAUCACCGGAUAAUCGAUCAUUUAUUUCAUCACCGGUGUUUUACAGCCAGCUAUUUUAAGUGUACCAUGAUGGUUAAUUUCCCUCACUCGACAUUGUGUUUUAUCGUGUACGUUGAACAAAUACAAGCUUAGACAAAUUGCCCCUA